AGUGAACGCUGGCGGUAGGCCUAACACAUGCAAGUCGAACGGCAGCACAGUAAGAGCUUGCUCUUACGGGUGGCGAGUGGCGGACGGGUGAGGAAUACAUCGGAAUCUACUUUUUCGUGGGGGAUAACGUAGGGAAACUUACGCUAAUACCGCAUACGACCUACGGGUGAAAGCAGGGGAUCUUCGGACCUUGCGCGAUUGAAUGAGCCGAUGUCGGAUUAGCUAGUUGGCGGGGUAAAGGCCCACCAAGGCGACGAUCCGUAGCUGGUCUGAGAGGAGGAUCAGCAACACUGGAGCUGAGACACGGACCAGACCCCUACGGGAGGCAGCGGUGGGAACUAUUGGACAAGGGGCGAAAGCCUAAUCCAGCCAUACCGCGUAGGUGAAGAAGGCCUUCGGGUUGUAAAGCCCUUUUGUUGGGAAAGAAAAGCAGCAGGUUAAUACCCCGCUGUUCUGAGGGUACCGAAAGAAUAAGCACCGGCAAACUGGGU
rnacentral:rRNA from 1 species